GGAGUGGUGGCUGAGUGGUCGAAAGCGACGGUUUGCUAAACCGUUGUAGGCCUUAAAAUCUACCUCGGGUUCGAAUCCCGACCACUCCG
rnacentral:tRNA from 1 species